rnacentral:tRNA from 1 species
AGCACCUUUAGCUAAAUGGUUAAAGCGUCGGUCUUCGAAACCGUCCAUUGUGGGUUCAAGUCCUACAGGGUGCUU